ACGAGGCUACGCCAACUGAAAAGCACGGCACGGGAAGACAAAAGCCGGGAAAACAAAAGCCACUUCGACCGCGUGACCGAUCGGACGAAGUUGUCCGUGCUAGAAACCACCAAAUACGACGCAGCAGUCGCACGACCAUCUUUCUCAUCGGUGCGGAGGAACAACGUUCCGGCGAAGAUAGCGGAGGAUUAACGUUCCGGCGAAGCUAGGUCCGGAAAGCCGAGAAUAGCGUAGGGCCGGAAACAAGUGCUGACAUUGUCUCCCACGUGCCGAUAACGAAAUUUGGAGAAUAGAAGACCCCUGUCGAUCUAGACCCCUGUCGAGGCUAGACAGGACGGAAUACACAAUAUCCUGCCUGGGCGGCUAGGAAUGCGGCACGGAGCCUCGUGCGGAAGUGGAGGAUCAGUCCCGUCCGUUAGGACUCAGCGAGCUUCAGCAACCCUUGAGCUUCGAAAGGCCUUCUACGAGAAGUAGGUUACGAAAGCGAGAUAAUAACAUUCAGAGGCUAACGGUAUAUCGCAUCAGGGCCUUUAUUUCCAGGUUCCAAAUAGCUAAGAAAACAAGCUCGCGGCUCGAGUUGAGGCUUUCGGUGUUCAGAGGCGAGAGGCUUGGCCACGGAACUGACGGCCAGUAAGGCAGAAGCUGCGAGGUCUGUAGGCUCUUCAUCCUGCCAAGCUCCAUCGAUCACGGACGAUUGCCAUCGUUCGCGGAAAGGACGAUUCGGUCGUAGGAAGAACGGAGAGGAGAGCAGAGGCCAGUGCGUUUGUCUCGUCGACUGCAUCGCCAGCAAGAUCGGGUGCGGAGCAUCCAUGAGCCGAUGGAAUCCACGACUGGAUGGGUUCGGAGCAAGAAUCGGCGGGCCCAGUAAAGGCGCAACUUUUGGUGGCGCUGAACCGGAGCAAGGAGACCGGGGCGAAACGGUGGCGGCCGAAGAAUGGGUGCACCCAAGGAAAAGCGUGAGUAGGCUAAGAAAAUCAUGUUAGAGUAGGAAAGAAAAGCGCGCACAGAUAGAAGAUCUUGUCAGUAGGCUGUAGGAAGACAAUAUGUCUAAUAAAUACUGUACGUUAUAAAGCCUUAAAAUUCGGAUUUUGAUCAGUUUUGUGUGCCCUAUCUUUGUUGAGCUAUCCGGGGCUGAUCGAGGGCUUC